CCUCGUAUAUUCCUGCCUUGGCUCACUUCUGCUCCUUAUCUUUCUUGCAGCGGCCGUAGACAUGCACCUCACCCGGGACACUGAGGAGAGCGGCCCUGUCGAGAUCACUUCCGUCUACCAGGACCGUAACAUGAAGGAUUCCAUCUCCGAAGAGCACUCAGGUAGGCUCUUCACCUGCCUUUGUACGUCUGGGAAGGUCUGGACUGGGGAUUCGGGGAGGUGGCAGAGGGGGAUUUGGGCCCCCCGAAAAAUGCCACGGCUCCCCUCUUCCGCUGCAGAAGCCGAGGACGGGAAGGUGCUCGCGGUCACCACCUCGGACACGGGGGUCACCCCCCGCCAGCAGCGCUCCUCCGUCUUCGAGAAGGUCUCCAGCGCCCUGUCCCGGGUCUUCUCCCGCACCUCCGCCACCGCCGCCCACGCCUCCCCGUCCGCCUCCAGCCAGGACAAGGCCGCCGCCACCGCCGCUGCUGCCGCCACCCCCGGGGAAUAGACCCCCUUCCAGGACCCCCGCAAUUUCUUCCGCUUUGUAUUAGCCGAGAGAAAUAAAAUAUUUUUCUUCAGAAAAUGGUGUCUUGAUGAGAGUUUCCGCCCCGCUCCCAAAGAACGCACCACACACACAGAGCCACGUGCCAAACGCUAUGUAUUUCUGGGUCAAGGCCUGGCGCCUCCCCGUUGUCUACCUUUUCUCUGCCACAUGAAGAACCGGCGAAGGAAGCCCGGGCUCCUCCGGCGGGAAGAAGCCUGGCGGUCUAGGCACCGUGACUGGACCUCCUCCGCGGCUGCGGUCAGUGCUGGGCCCAGGCCGGGGUCGCGGGUCAAGGCUCGAAGGCCUGCAGGAGGCAAGAGAAGUCGUGCUUGCUUACCUGUAACUGUGUUCCUCUGAGUGGUCGCCGAUGAAAUCUGCACAUAUGAUAUUGCCCAUGUUCCUCUGAGUGGUCGCCAAUGAAAUCUGCACAUAUGAUAUUGCCCGUGUUCCUCUGAGUGGUCGCCAAUGAAAUCUGCACAUAUGAUAUUGCCCAUGUUCCUCUGAGUGGUCGCCAAUGAAAUCUGCACAUAUGAUAUUGCCCAUGUUCCUCUGAGUGGUCGCCAAUGAAAUCUGCACAUAUGAUAUUGCCCAUGUUCCUCUGAGUGGUCGCCAAUGAAUCUGCACAUAUGAUAUUGCCCAUGUUCCUCUGAGUGGUCGCCAAUGAAAUCUGCACAUAGGAUAUUGCCCGUGUUCCUCUGAGUGGUCGCCAAUGAAAUCUGCACAUAGGAUAUUGCCCGUGUUCCUCUGAGUGGUCGCCAAUGAAAUCUGCACAUGAUAUUGCCC
rnacentral:lncRNA from 11 species